GAUGAAGAACGUAGCGAAAUGCGAUAAGUAAUGUGAAUUGCAGAGUUCAGUGAAUCAUCGAAUCUUUGAACGCACAUUGCGCCCCUUGGUAUUCCGAGGGGCAUGCCUGUUCGAGCGUCAUUACACCACUCAAGCUAUGCUUGGUAUUGGGCGUCGUCCUUAGUUGGGCGCGCCUUAAAGACCUCGGCGAGGCCACUCCGGCUUUAGGCGUAGUAGAAUUUAUUCGAACGUCUGUCAAAGGAGAGGAACUCUGCCGACUGAAACCUUUAUUUUUCUAGGUUGACCUCGGAUCAGGUAGGGAUACCCGCUGAACUUAAGCAUAUCAAUAAGCGGAGGA
rnacentral:misc_RNA from 1 species